GUGGAUGUAGCUCAGUUGGUAGAGCUCUGGAUUGUGGUUCCAGUGGUCGCGGGUUCAAUCCCCGUCAUUCACC
rnacentral:tRNA from 1 species